UUAUAAAAUUAUUACUUUAUUAAAAAUUUUUAAUUUCUAAAAAAAAUUAUUUUAAUGACUAAAGUUAAAUUCUUUUUUUAAAAAAUUUUUUUAAUUAUAAAAUUUUAAAAUAUUUUAUUUUAAAAAUUUUAAGAAAAAUUAAAUCUUUAUUCCUUUUGUAUCAGAAUAAUUCUAAAUAUUUAAUUUAAAAUUUAAAUCUCGAAAUAAAAAAAUUUAAAUAAAUACUUAAUUUAAAAUUUUAAUUUUAUUAAAAAUAUUUAUUUAGAAACUAUAUAUUAAUCAAUUUUUAUAAUAUCUAGUUAUUUAAUAAAAAAAUUCAAUUUUUAUAUAAUUUAUUAUUAAUAUCUUUAAUUAUUUUAAUAAUUAUUUUAUAUAUAAAAUUUAAGGGAUAAACUUUAAAUUUUAAUUUAAAAUAAACAUUAAUAAAAUAUCAAUUAUAUAAUUUAAAAUAUUUAAUAAUAAAAAAUAUUUAAUAAUUAAUAAAUAAAAAAUAAAAAUUUAAUUAAUAUUUAAUAAUUUAUUAAAUUUUUAUAAUAAAUAUAUAUUUAUAAAAAAUUAUAAAUUAAUUAGUAAAUAUAAUUAUAUAAAAAAUAAUUAUUUAAAAUCAAAAAUUAAUUAAUCAACUAAGCAAAAUAUAUAUUCACCUGUUUAACAAAAACAUGUCUUAAUGAAAUUUAAUAUUAAGUCCAAUCUGCCCACUGAUCAUAUUUUAAAGGCUGCAAUAUUACUAAUUGUACAAAGGUAGCAUAAUAAUUUGUUUUUUAAUUAAAAACUAGAAUGAACGAUUAAAUGAAAUAUAAACUCCAUCAAUUAAUAAAAUUUAAAUUUUUAUUUAAGUUAAAAAACUUAAAUAAAUAUAAAAGACGACAAGACCCUAUAGAAUUUUAUUUUAAAUAAUAUUAUUUUUAUUAUUAUAAUAUAAUUUAUUUAAAAUUUAAUUGGGGUAAUUUAAAAAUUAAAUAAAUUUUUUUAAAAAAUAACAUAAAUUAAUGAAUUAUAAAUCUUAAAAUUUAAAUUAAUAAAAUUAAUUACCUUAGGGAUAACAGCAUAAUUUUUUUUAAAAGAUCUCAUUAAUAAAAAAGAUUAUGACCUCGAUGUUGAAUUAAGAUAAAAUAUAAAUGAAAAAAUUUAUAAAUUUAAGUCUGUUCGACUUUUAAAAUCUUACAUGAUUUGAGUUAAGAUCGGCGUAAGCCAGAUCAGAUUCUAUCUUUAUAUAAUAUUUAUAUAAUUGUACGAAAGGAACUUAUAUAAAAAAUAAUUUUUAAAAUUUUUUAAAUAAUUAUAUUAA
rnacentral:rRNA from 1 species